GACGAACGCUGGCGGCGUGCCUGACACAUGCAAGUCGGACGGUUCUUGCACCUUCAAGCUUGCUUGCUGGUGCAGGGAUAGUGGCGGACGGGUGAGUAACGCGUGAACAUCUACCCAUUGGAGGGGGACAACCCGUCGAAAGGCGGGCUAAUACCGCGUAAGCCGUGAGGUGAGAGGCUGCCUAUUGGUGGCCGCCGAUGGAUGGGUUCGCGUCCUAUCAGCUGGUUGGUGGGGUAACGGCCUACCAAGGCGAAGACGGGUAGCCGGUCUGAGAGGAUGGCCGGCCACACUGGAACUGAGACACGGUCCAGACUCCUACGGGAGGCAGCAGUGGGGAAUAUUGGGCAAUGGGGGUAACCCUGACCCAGCGACGCCGCGUGAGGGACGAAGGUUUUCGGAUUGUAAAGCUCUGUCUUCCGGGACGAUAAUGACGGUACCGGAGGAGGAAGCCACGGCUAACUACGUG
rnacentral:rRNA from 1 species